GAUGAACGCUGGCGGCGUGCCUAAUACAUGCAAGUCGAGCGAACGGACGAGAAUCUUGCUUUUCUGAUGUUAGCGGCGGACGGGUGAGUAACACGUGGAUAACCUACCUAUAAGACUGGGAUAACUUCGGGAAACCGGAGCUAAUACCGGAUAAUAUUUUGAACCGCAUGGUUCAAAAGUGAAAGACGGUCUUGCUGUCACUUAUAGAUGGAUCCGCUCUGCAUUAGCUAGUUGGUAAGGUAACGGCUUACCAAGGCAACGAUGCAUAGCCGACGUGAGAGGGUGAUCGGCCACACUGGGACUGAGACACGGUCCAGACUCCUACGGGAGGCAGCAGUAGGGAAUCUUCCGCAAUGGGCGAAAGCCUGACGGAGCAACGCCGCGUGAGUGAUGAAGGUCUUCGGAUCGUAAAACUCUGUUAUUAGGGAAGAACAUAUGUGUAAGUAACUGUGCACAUCUUGACGGUACCUAAUCAGAAAGCCACGGCUAACUACGUG
rnacentral:rRNA from 1 species